GGCGGGUAUGCUGGUGUGUGCCUGUAGUCCUAGUUACUCAGGAGACUGAGGCAGGAGGAUCACUUGAGCCCAGGAGUUUGAGGCUGCAGUGAGAUGGGAUCGCACCACUGCACUCCAGCCUGGACAACAGAGUGAGACCCUGUCUCAA
rfam:Gorilla gorilla gorilla genomic chromosome, chr19, whole genome shotgun sequence